GUCAGGCUUGUAUUUAUUCAGAUUGAUGGACGCACGACGCUGUGAUGACAGUGACGUCAUAGGGCAGUCCGUGUGCAUCUAUCCCAUCAGCCAUGGCGGCAAUUGGCUAUAUAAACGUGCGCGCCGCGUUUACAACUUCUCAAUCUGCGGUCAACCAGGAGUGAAGAGGCAUGACAAUGUUGAGUUAUAUUAAAAUGUUCAAAUCAGCGAAACCCAAGUCUUACCAAUUUACAGAGCCAGACAUUGAAGAUCAUAUUGGAACAUGACGCAUUUAAGGUGAACUUGUGAAUUACAAUGGCUGUAUGAAGAUGUCAACCAUACUUGUUCUUUAAAGGGAACUGUAGACCCACAGCAUAGAGUGCCUGGAUGAGCUGAUGCACUACUUCAGUACAACUCCAAGGCAAUGCCAACUGGAUUUAGGACGGGACACUCGGGCUGUUCAAGUCAGGAGAAGACAUGCGCGUCAACGUUUGAAACGUCUGCACUUUGACCGUUCAUGUCGAGUUGAAGCACAAGUACCCAUUAAUUGUUGAGCUGAUUUGGUAUGGAGAGAUCUCAUCAUGUAAAGGCUACUGCAAAUUGAGCUGAAAUGUCAGCUAGGUUCAAAUUGGCUUGGUGUGGUUAUGCAUUGUAACUUGUAAAUUCUGCAAUAAACAAGUUAACUGCAA